rnacentral:rRNA from 1 species
UACGUAGGGGGGCUAGCGUUGUCCGGAAUCAUUGGGCGUAAAGCGCGUGUAGGCGGUCCGGUAAGUCCGCUGUGAAAGUCGGGGGGCUCAACCCUCGGAUGCCGGUGGAUACUGUCGGGCUUGAGUACGGAAGAGGCGAGUGGAAUUCCUGGUGUAGCGGUGAAAUUCGUAGAUAUUGGGGAAGAACACCGAUGGCGAAGGCAGCCAUCUGGACCGACACUGACGCUGAGGCGCGAAAGCGUGGGGAGCA